ACUCCUACGGGAGGCAGCAGUGGGGAAUAUUGCACAAUGGGCGCAAGCCUGAUGCAGCCAUGCCGCGUGUAUGAAGAAGGCCUUCGGGUUGUGAAAGUAACUUUCAGCAGUGAGGAAGGAUGGGUAUGUUAAUAGCAUACUCAUUUGACGUUAGCUGCAAGAAGAAGCACCGGCUAACUCCGUGCCAGCAGCCGCGGUAAUACGGAGGGUGCGAGCGUUAAUCGGAAUUACUGGGCGUAAAAGCGCAUGCAGGUGGUUUUGAUUAAGUCAGAUGUGAAAAGCCCGGGGCUCAACCUCGGAAUUGCAUUUG
rnacentral:rRNA from 1 species